rnacentral:piRNA from 1 species
UUCAGUCCCGUGCAGGCAAAAGGCCCC